rnacentral:rRNA from 1 species
UACAGAGGGGGCAAGCGUUGUUCGGAAUUACUGGGCGUAAAGGGCGCGUAGGCGGCCUUCUAAGUCGAACGUGAAAUCCCUGGGCUCAACCCAGGAACUGCGUCCGAGACUGGGAGGCUAGAAUCCGGGAGAGGGAUGUGGAAUUCCAGGUGUAGCGGUGAAAUGCGUAGAUAUCAGGAGGAACACCGGUGGCGAAGGCGGGUCUCUGGGCCGAUACUGACGCUGAGGAGCGAAAGCGUGGGGAGCGAACAGG